CUUUGUUUAAGUCGUGGUGUGAAUAGGACAAAAAAGUAAAAACCGAAGAAUUGCGAUGUACAUGUACAUGUAGUCAAUAGUCAUCUGCAUUCUGCAUGUAGGGCGGUAGGGUAAUCCGGUGAUUAUACAUCAUAGUUUAGAAGUGAUUUAGAAUACUGGUUCUACGUUAAUGUAAAUAUGUGGUGAAUAUUGUGCUUUGGAUUUGGAAAACAAGAUUAACACUAUUGACCAUUAACAAUUAGAAAUGUCAGAGUCGCACAUUGACGUAAAAUGCUAUUUCACGAAAUUUACUGCAAUUUCAUCAAGGUGCAAAAUAUGUAGCAAUGUUUACAAGCAUCAUAACAAUACUACAAAUUUACGAAACCACCUGAAACGUAAACAUUCAGAAUUUUUAAAUAUGGGAUUGGCACAAAACAAGAGUCAAAAACGUCUAAAAGUGAUAAAUAACAAAGGUUCAAAAGAGGAUCAAGAUCAGACCCAGACUACUACAUCGUCACUACAGAAUGAUGUUUCUACAUCAUCACUACACAAUGAUGUCGAAAAGAGCGAGACAAAUUUAUCAGAAGCAACAACAGUAACUCUCUGUGAUCUUACUGAUCUUAGUGAAAUAGAUGCAUUGCCCAGUUUCGAAAAAUCUACCCUUAAGUUCAAACAAAAUGACAUAGUAUCAGCUUUCGAUGAAAUAAAUUCAUUUUCAGGUGGAAGAAUGAAUGCUAAAAUAACCAAUGCUUUGAUUUAUAUGAUCACAGUUGAUCACCUUCCCUUAUCUUUCACAGAACGUAAAGGAUUUCAAUAUUUCAAAAAGGUCGCUUUACCACUAUAUAAGGCUCCAGGGCGUUCUACAAUUACAAGACAAGUUGAUGAAAAAUAUACAGUUUUAAGUUCCAAAAUUAAAGACAAAUUCAAGUUGGUGGAUAAUUUUUGUCUAACAACUGACGCAUGGACUGAUAGUUUGAAUAA